GGACCCGUAGUUUAACGGCAAAACGGGGCUCUUAUAAAGCCUUGUCGAAAGUUCGACUCUUUCCGGGUCCA
rnacentral:tRNA from 1 species